GCGCACGGGUGAGUAAUGCAUAGAUAAUGUGCCCCUUAGUUCGGGAUAGCCACUGGAAACGGUGAUUAAUACCGGAUACUCCUUCUUGUUAUAAGACAAGUCGGGAAAGUUUUUCGCUAAGGGAUCAGUCUAUGUUCCAUCAGCUUGUUGGUGAGAUGAUGGCUCACCAAGGCUAUGACGGAUAUCUGGUUUGAGAGGAUGAUCAGACACACUGGAACUGAGACACGGUCCAGACUCCUACGGGAGGCAGCAGUGAGGAAUAUUGCACAAUGGAGGAAACUCUGAUGCAGCAACGCCGCGUGGAGGAUGACACAUUUCGGUGUGUAAACUCCUUUUAUUAGGGAAGAUAAUGACGGUACCUAAUGAAUAAGCACCGGCUAACUCCGUGCCAGCAGCCGCGGUAAUACGGAGGGUGCAAGCGUUACUCGGAAUCACUGGGCGUAAAGGGUGCGUAGGCUGGCUUUUAAGUCAGAUGUGAAAUCCAAUGGCUCAACCAUUGAACUGCAUUUGAAACUGAAAGCCUAGAGUUCAGAAGGGGCAGAUGGAAUUAGUGGUGUAGGGGUAAAAUCCGUAGAUAUCACUAGGAAUAUCAAAAGCGAAGGCGAUCUGCUGGGAUGAU
rnacentral:rRNA from 1 species